UAUAUUAAAGUUGUUGCAGUUAAAACGCUCGUAGUCGGACCUCGGAGCGCCCCCACGGGCCGGGCUUUUGCCUUGUUGCCAGUGGGAGUUUGUCUCCUUUUGUCGGGACGCGGUGUGCAGGGCCUUUACUGUCUCUGCGCGUUUACCUGCGGGCCGACCGUUUACUGUGAAGAAAGUAAAGUGUUCAAAGCAGGCCAAUGCCUUGAAUAUGUGAGCAUGGAAUAAUAGAAUAGGACUUGGGCUCUAUUUUGUUGGUUUCCAGUGACCAAGUAAUGAUUAAUAGGGACGGUUGGGGGCAUUCGUAUUUCAUUGUCAGAGGUGAAAUUCUUGGAUUGAUGGAAGACGUACAACUGCGAAAGCAUCUGCCAUGGAUGUUUUCAUUGAUCAAGAACGAAAGUUAGGGGAUCGAAGACGAUCAGAUACCGUCGUAGUCUUAACCAUAAACGAUGCCGACUGGGGAUUGGCGGGGGCACUUUUAUAUGACUCUGUCAGCACCCUGAGGGAAACCAAAGUCUUUGGGUUCUGGGGGGAGUAU
rnacentral:rRNA from 2 species